rnacentral:rRNA from 1 species
CAGCAGCCGCGGGAAUACGAAGGGGGCUAGCGUUGCUCGGAAUGACUGGGCGUAAAGGGCGCGUAGGCGGAUGGCACAGUCAGAUGUGAAAUUCCCGGGCUUAACCUGGGGGCUGCAUUUGAUACGUGUCGUCUAGAGUGAGGAAGAGGGUCGUGGAAUUCCCAGUGUAGAGGUGAAAUUCGUAGGUAUUGGGAAGAACACCGGUGGCGAAGGCGGCGAUCUGGUCCCUGACUGACGCUGAGGCGCGAAAGCGUGGGGAGCAAACAGGAUUAGAUACCCCUGUAUCCCUGUCUCUUAUACA